AUCAGAUGUUCCCUCAAGAGGCCCCUCACUGCAGGAGCUGGAGGAUCGCCACCUCCACCUUCAGGAUCACAUCCCCAGUCAGCAGCCUGGCAGAGCAGGAGUUCUGAGAUCGGAGGCUUCUGCCCAACGUGGGCUUCUCCAACAGUCUUUGCUUCGAGCUCGGCAUGGGUUUGGCCCUGGGCUCUCAGAGCUGCACGGCGGGCCUGAGGCUCCUCCUAAAGAAUAUUAAAACACCCUGCCCAGAGUUGCUGACUCAUUUGGGGAUGGGGCUCUGGAGUGAGUGUUUUUGAAAAAAUCCCCCAGUUGAUUCUAACAUGUGUCCACUGAGCACCCCUGUGGUAGAGAGCUGGCCAUCCAACAGCUGCCCACAGUCUCGGGAUUCAGCCAGAAGGAUACAGGCUUUGGUAACUCUUCAGUCUCCAAGUUCAACAAGUUCCCGUGUUGCAUAUAGCAUUAUACAGAACCUUGGAAACAAAUUCUCUCCUUCUUGCCCUGGAUACUUGAGGUAACCUUAGAUUCCUGCCUGUGAGUAUCUAGACCAUGGACCCCCACCCUGAGAUCUCUCUUCAUUUACUGCUGUCCAGAAACCCCCAAGACUUUCCUUAUAGCUUCUCCCAGGAGUACAUCCCACCCCCCGCUCCUGAGACCCUCUCACUCUCACAGCUACUUCUCAAUCAUCUAGAAAUUCCUGC
ensembl:lncRNA